GCCUGGGUGGCUCAGUCGGUUAAGCAUCUGACUUCGGCUCAGAGCACGAUCUCAGGGUUCAUGAGUUCGCACCCCACUUCGGGCU
rnacentral:tRNA from 1 species